rnacentral:piRNA from 1 species
UGCUGUGAUAAAAUAUUGUGAC